GACGAACGCUGGCGGCGUGCUUAACACAUGCAAGUCGAACGCGUGGCGAACGGGUGAGUAAAACGUGGGUAACCUGCCCUAUUUUUGGGAUAAGCCUUGGGAACGGGGUCUAAUUCCGACUACGGGGGUUGGGCUCGCGGCAUAUCAGCUUGUUGGUGGGGUGCUGGCCUACCAAGGCGGUGACGGGUAGCCGGGCUGGGAGGGGGACCGGCAACAUGGGGACGGAGCUACGGCCCAGACGCGUACGUGAGGGAGAAGUGUGGGAUAUUGCACAAUGGGCGAAGGACUGAGGCAGCGACGCCGCGGGGGGGAUGAAGGCUUUCGGGUUGUAAACCUCGGUCGCUAGCGAACGGGUAGGUGGAGAAGAAGCGCCGGCUAACUACGUGCCAGCAGUCGCGGUAAUAC
rnacentral:rRNA from 1 species